rnacentral:rRNA from 1 species
CCUACGGGAGGCAGCAGUGAGGAAUAUUGGUCAAUGGCCGAGAGGCUGAACCAGCCAAGUCGCGUGAGGGAAGACGGCCCUACGGGUUGUAAACCUCUUUUGUCGGGGAGCAAAGCGAACCACGUGUGGUUCAUUGAGAGUACCCGAAGAAAAAGCAUCGGCAAACUCUGUGCCAGCAGCCGCGGUAAUACGGAGGAUGCGAGCGUUAUCCGGAUUUAUUGGGUUUAAGGGGUGCGCAGGGGGAGGUGCAAGUCAGCGGUAAAAUUGGGGGGCUCAACACCGUACUGCCGUUGAAACUGCAUCCCUUGAGUGCGCGAGAGGUAUGCGGAAUGCGUGGUGUAGCGGUAAAAUGCAUAGAUAUCACGCAGAACACCGAUUGCGAAGGCAACAUGCCGGCACGCAACUGACGCUGAUGCACGAAAGCGUGGGUAUCGAACAGGAUUAGAUACCCGAGUAGUC